rnacentral:rRNA from 1 species
GCUUAACCGAAGAAGUGCAUCGGAAACUGGGGAACUUGAGUGCAGAAGAGGACAGUGGAACUCCAUGUGUAGCGGUGGAAUGCGUAGAUAUAUGGAAGAACACCAGUGGCGAAGGCGGCUGUCUAGUCUGCAACUGACGCUGAGGCUCGAAAGCAUGGGUAGCGAACAGGAUUAGAUACCCUGGUAGUCCAUGCCGUAAACGAUGAGUGCUAGGUGUUGGAGGGUUUCCGCCCUUCAGUGCCGCAGCUAACGCAUUAAGCACUCCGCCUGGGGAGUACGACCGCAAGGUUGAAACUCAAAGGAAUUGACGGAGGCCCGCACAAGCGGUGGAGCAUGUGGUUUAAUUCGAAGCUACGCGAAGAACCUUACCAGGUCUUGACAUCUUCUGCCAAUCUUAGAGAUAAGACGUUCCCUUCGGGGACAGAAUGACAGGUGGUGCAUGGUUGUCGUCAGCUCGUGUCGUGAGAUGUUGGGUUAAGUCCCGCAACGAGCGCAACCCUUAUUAUCAGUUGCCAGCAUUCAGUUGGGCACUCUGGUGAGACUGCCGGUGACAAACCGGAGGAAGGUGGGGAUGACGUCAAAUCAUCAUGCCCCUUAUGACCUGGGCUACACACGUGCUACAAUGGACGGUACAACG